ACUAUUUUGGCAGAUAAGUGUAAUAGAUUUAGAAUCUAUAAAUGUAGUAGAUUAACUAUAAAUAGUA
rnacentral:tRNA from 1 species